rnacentral:lncRNA from 1 species
UUCUAUACACUGGUCCCCAUACGACCCCGUUCGCGUGGUGAACGCCGAUCCUUAAGGACUUUGCCCGGCGUGUCUCUCCGCCCACCCCUCGCUUUCAAUCCCCGCCAUCGACGCCUUUCAACUCCGCUUCUGACGCCUUUCAACUCCACCCCGACAUCGCUUUGUAUGGAACGGCCCUUAGGCGUGCCUCUCCGUGCUUCGCGUCAUGCGCGCGCACACCGGACGCGACAAGAUCAUCAAGUUCGAGGGGUGCUACCACGGCCACGCGGACCCGUUCCUCGUGCAAGCUGGCUCCGGCGUCGCGACCCUCGGGCUUCCGGAUUCCCCCGGCGUCCCGAAGGCGGCGACGAACACGACGUUGUGCGCGCCGUACAACGACCUCGACGCGGUGAAGAAGAUCUUCGAGGAGAAUAAGGGUGAGAUCGCGGGCGUGAUCCUCGAGCCCGUCGUGGGUAACUCCGGGUUCAUCGUCCCGGAUAAGUCUUUUCUCGAGGGCCUCCGCGAAGUCACGACGGCGAACGGC